rnacentral:rRNA from 1 species
AUGCUUGAUCGGUUCGUGUCGUCCACCGCCGCCGUCGACCCCCGCGCCUCUACUCCGACAUCGGCGUCGACUACACCGGCCGCUUCAUCAUCAACCACGCGGCAAGGCUGGACGCGCUGCCCAAGGGACGCAGUCGUGCGUCGCUUUCGGCCACGCGCCCGCGCAGUCUCCAUUGCCGGUCUUCGUCGUCAUCGCCCGGGACAUCACCGACAAUGUCGCCAUCGACUCCGAUCUGUGCGUCGUCCCCGCCAUGGCGCGUACAGCGUCGGCGUCGGUCUGAUCAACCGAUCACGCGCCUGUUUUCGCCAAGCCCGUCCCCAAGCACGCGCCUACCGCCGAUCGAGCCACAGGUUGCCGUGGCGUCGUCCCUUCGGACCGUUGCGUCGCCGCCCGAAGUCUUCCCGUCGGCUGCCCCGACCCGCGCGCCGCUCCCGCCGACGCCCCUUCGGGCUGUCGCGUCGCGGCCCGUUGUCCACGUCGUCGCCCCGAGAUCCUCCCGCCGGCUACCCCUGUAGCCGUCGCCGCCUCUGCGUUGCCCCUUAG